rnacentral:rRNA from 1 species
CUACGGGGUGCUGCAGUGGGGAAUAUUGCACAAUGGAGGAAACUCUGAUGCAGCAACGCCGCGUGGAGGAUGACGCAUUUCGGUGUGUAAACUCCUUUUAUAUAAGAAGAACAUGACGGUAUUAUAUGAAUAAGCACCGGCUAACUCCGUGCCAGCAGCCGCGGUAAUACGGAGGGUGCAAGCGUUACUCGGAAUCACUGGGCGUAAAGAGCGUGUAGGCGGAUUAAAAAGUCAGAAGUGAAAUCCUAUAGCUUAACUAUAGAACUGCUUCUGAAACUCUUAAUCUAGAAUAUGGGAGAGGUAGAUGGAAUUUCUGGUGUAGGGGUAAAAUCCGUAGAGAUCAGAAGGAAUACCGAUUGCGAAGGCGAUCUACUAGAACAUUAUUGACGCUGAGACGCGAAAGCGUGGGGAGCAAACAGGAUUAGAUACCCGAGUAGUC